rfam:Arthrobacter arilaitensis RE117 chromosome, complete sequence.
CGCGGUCCUCGGUAGUGGCUUUCGCUAGGACGGAUUUGCGUCCCAGCGCGGGUCUCGAUCGAAGACCAGA